ACCCGGUCCAGUCGAGCGUCACUAGCCAGAUGAAGCUAGCUGGCUACUUUUAACAUUAGCUUUGGGCAACAGGGACCUACAUGGUAAUUAUGACAACUUCCGGAGGACAUCUUCCAUCCAAUCAAAGGAUCAAAGAAUGAACCUAGUACGACGCAUGUGUGAUUUCGAAGCUUGAUUCAAGUUUCUGGGGAAAAUCCUCAUCAAUCAUUUAAUGGAUGAAGAUCUGUGUUUUCAAACUGCGUAACACAAGAAGAAGCUAAGUCGCCUGCUGUUCCCUGAUUUAAGAGGUGAUGACCAGUCCACUCUACUACCAUUGUCAACUCUGUCCUGACAUGAACUGAAGCCACGUCUCAUGUGCCCGCUCAUCCACUUGCACAUUGAAGGUUUCCUCUCCAAGCACUUCAAAUCCUGUGCUGCCCUCAGUGUGAGAGUUGAGCUCUUCUCCAUCACCAUCCAUCCAUGAUGAACCUGUCCUGCACUGAAGCCUCUGAACACCUCAACUCAUGCCUCAUUCAAUCACUGCUGUGAUCCCUUCCAAACACUGUAACUAGCCCUCUCAUUCCCAUUCCCCAUAAUAUUUUACCAUAAAUGUCUUUAUUAAACGUUUUAAGUAAAAAAUCAUUUGUCUUUAACGAUUUUUGAAAAAUGUAUUUUGUCAUCUCUGUGCGGUCUGCGCCUAUACUGUGGGACUCCCAUCAUCCUCCCAAAUGUGUCAUGUCACCAGCCUCAGCCACCAGAUCUCUCCAAUGGGAUUGUGUGUGUGUUUUAAGUGGCUGCUAGAGUUGAUUGUGCUGAAAUUAACUAUAUAGGCAACAUUAUUAUGCAUACAACAAACCAUAGAAAAUCACAUUCAUCUAUUAGGAUGUGUAACGCUAAUGACAUUGAUUGGCGUAAUAGCAGCAACGCUGGCGCAGGCACGAAAACAAUGGGAGGUCAGUUAUAUUCCUUGUUAUUAUUAUUUCAUAUUUUUACGUCCCUGCUGGCCAGAGUGAGAGAGUGAGACGUGGGGUGCCACUGUUCAGGACGCUGAUGGGAGCGCUACUAUCGGCCCAUUAAUCCCAGUAAUUGGCAAACAUUCUAUUGGGACGACCCUGUCCUCUGUUGCCACGGAAACCUAGACAGACUAAGACACCUUCCCAGCAGCAGCUUGUUUUGUUUAUGUCUGAAAUUGACUUUGCAAACAGGCUGCAGAGAGAGAGAUAGAGAGAGAGAGUCUGCAGGUUCACUCUCAGCUAUAAUAUGGCAAUAGCCGGUUCAAUUCCCUCUGGAAUAACUCUGCUAUAUCUACAAUCAAGGCAAUUAACCUGGAUUCCUCUUGUGAGAUUCCAGCUGUGUGGAGGGCUACGUGUAAAGAUGUUACCUAGCAAAGUCUCUCUGAUAAAGGGCAUCAGCUCAGCCAAUCAGCAACGCAUUGUAAUCACGUUUCACACUGUGCUAAUCACUUCAGCUUAAUUUAUCAUUGGUAUGAAAACAGUAUUAUACGCUACUAACACAGAGAGGGGAUAGAGGGA